UGCAGUAGAUCCCAGCUCUGCCACCAGUUGUCCCGGAGUGUGGGGGAGUCCAGGCCCUGCACCCCUCACUUCCUGCGAUGCACCGGGACUCUCAGCCGGCCGGUAACACAGACGGUUUAUUAGCCGACAGGAAUCAACUCCAAACCAGAGCUUGUGGGUACAGAGACCAGGACCCCUCAGUCAGGUCCCUCUUGGGGGGUAGGGAGCCCAGUUCCCAGUUCUGGGCCUCUCCCCAUUUCCCCCUCCAGCCACCUCCCCCAGGCUCCUCCUCCAGCCUUUGUCCGGUUUCUGGGGCAGGUGUCACCUGGCCCCAGCCCCCUCCUGGGCUCAGGUUACACAGGGAAACCGCCACCCUUUACCUGCUGGCGUCAGGUAUCAUCCCUGUUUCCCAUCCCCACCUAGUACUGGUGCAGCACCCGGGGAAACUGAGGCACACCCCGUGUUAGCAGAAAACAAUAAACUAGUGAAAUUCCCAUGCACCAUUAUCAGGUUAAUACUCCCUCUUCCCUUCUCCAUCUCAGCUGGGAGCCAGGACUCCUGGGUUCUCUCCCUGGCUCUGGGAGGGGAGUGGGGUCUAGUGGUUAGAGCGGGGGGGGCUGGGAACCAGGUGUCACAGAGUUUGGAGGAGACAAGGCCCCUGCAGUUCACCACGACUCUCAGGCAGCCAGUAACACAGAAGGUUUAUUUAGACGACAGGAACACAGUCCAAGACAGGCCUUGCAGAUACAGACCACGGGACCCCCUCAGUCAGGUCCAUCCUGGGGGACUAGGGAGCCAAGAGGUCUGUCUGGCCUCCCCUCCAUUUUCCCAGCUAGCUCCAAGCCGAAAAUUCUCCCUUUGUCUCUUUCCCGGGCCAGGAGGUCACCUGAUCUCUUCGUUUUUUAACACCUUUAGUUGGCAACUUUGCAGGGGAGGAGCCCAGGCCAUCAGUUGCCAGAAGUCAGGGCGUCACACUGGCCCCCUAGGGCUCUGCAACAAUCACACAUCUCUAGACACUCGAGAAAUGCAUAGGGGAAACUGAGGCACACACACAGUAUUCAGAGAAAACAUUCAAAACAUUCCCAUGUUGUCACACCAGGACUCCAGGUUUCUUUCCCCAGCUCUGGGAGGGGUGUGGGGACUAGUGGUUAGAGCGGGGGGG
rnacentral:lncRNA from 1 species